rnacentral:rRNA from 1 species
ACGUAGGGCGCGAGCGUUGUCCGGAUUUAUUGGGCGUAAAGAGGUCGUAGGCGGCUUGUCGCGUCAGCUGUGAAAACCCGCGGCUCGACUGUGGGCUUGCAGCUGAUACGGGCAGGCUUGAGUUCGGUAGGGGAGACUGGAAUUCCUGGUGUAGCGGUGAAAUGCGCAGAUAUCAGGAGGAACACCAGAGGCGAAGGCGGCGACCUGGACAGAUACUGACACUCAACUGCGAAAGCGUGGGGAGCAAACAGGA